rnacentral:rRNA from 1 species
UACGUAGGGGGCAAGCGUUGUCCGGAAUUAUUGGGCGUAAAGCGCACGUAGGCGGCUUGGCAAGUCGGAUGUGAAAUCCCUCGGCUCAACCAAGGAAGUGCAUCCGAAACUGCUGAGCUUGAGUACGAAAGAGGAUCGCGGAAUUCCCGGUGUAGAGGUGAAAUUCGUAGAUAUCGGGAGGAACACCAGUGGCGAAGGCGGCGAUCUGGGUCGAUACUGACGCUGAGGUGCGAAAGCGUGGGGAGCAAACAGG